AUUGACCACUGCUUUUCCGCUUUCUGCUUUUCCGUUUUCUGCUUAUGCCGUCCGCCUAGUACAGUUGAACACAUAAAUUACUCCAUAAAAAACUCAACACAGACGUUUCGUGUCUCAUAAGUUACAUCUAUCUCGAAAAUUAAAAAAUACAUAGAAGAAUCAGAUAAGAAAAGACCUCCACGGAUCAGACAAAUCAACUUUGAUAACGAUUGCUGCCUGAUACCACUUGUUUGUCUCUCAUCUACUUUUAUCUGUUUUAACUGUUUGUCACACGAGUCAACUGCAAAUAUAAUAAUGGCUGAUGAAAGUCGUGAAGGAGCAAUCAAUUUUGGCGCUGGCCCAGCUAAAUUGCCACACGAGGUUCUAAAAAAAGUGCAGAAGGAGUUGCUCGCAUAUGGAAACACGCAAAUCAGCAUUUUAGAGUUAAGUCAUCGAUCGAAUGAUUUUAAGAAAAUUAUUGAUGAUGCGCAGGCCACUUUGCGAGACAUCCUCAAUAUUCCUGACAACUAUAAAAUCCUGUUCAUGCAAGGAGGCGGUACUGCCAUUUUUGCAGCUAUUCCUCUUAAUAUUAUGAAUACAGGAUCUGCGGAUUAUAUAGUAACUGGCUCAUGGUCAGCAAAAGCGGCAAAAGAAGCGGCGAAAUAUGGAAAAGUGAACUUGGUUUUGUCUGAUAUGACAAAAUACAUAGAAAUUCCGCAUCCCUCCACUUGGAACUUAAACGCGAAUGCAUCAUAUGUUUAUUAUUGCGCUAAUGAAACUGUGCAUGGAAUUGAAUUUGAUUUUAUCCCGGAAACAAAUGGCAUACCACUUGUUGCUGAUAUGUCAUCUAACAUAGUUACUAAACCUUUUGAUGUAUCUAAGUUGUUAGAAAGGAAAUCUAUCUGCCGCCAGUUGAGUUGCGCGGAUCGCAGUGCGUGAAUAUGCGUAAAGGCUGUAUCAGAUUACCGAUUCUGCAGGCUCGACUACAGUACCGAUUCCAGUUGAUCGAUCAUAUUUGUUGAUGUUUGCCGACUGAUUCAACUAUAUAAAAGAGUAAAAUUAAUAAAAUAUAUUCUGGCUGACAGAAUCGCAGAAAUAAGAUCAUUCUCGAACUUUAUUUAUUAAUAAUAUUUCCGAAUUGAAUUCGAAUGUUUUUUUUAAUGCCAUCUUUCCCAACUCUCAUGGGAUAUUUACGAACUAUUUUUUCUUAUAUAAUCGCUAAAUCGUUUUACAAAGAGUGUCUUUAUUCAGAACUCUUUAUAUUGACAAUGGUUGUUAGGAAGAAAAUCUAUCUACCGUUAAUCGUUGAGUGAUUAAAUCUUAUAUUUCUUACUGAUUCUGAUUCUGAUUGGAAUUCUGAGUCGCUGAUGAUAUUGACUCGAAAAAUAAACUCAAAUCUAAACGCGAGUUGGUUGACUCAGUCAAUCGGUGUCUCACUAUGAUUAGUCCGCUGAGGAUCAGUUAGAAUCGAGUUGAUCGACAGAGUUGAUGGUCUUAUAUGGGCUUAAAUGUGCACGGCGGUUAUGAAUAAACGACCAAGGAUAUGCACAAUAAGAUUAUGUGUGGAUCGUUAUUAUACAAGAGGUUUUGUACGGUACAAGCUGAUCCCGAUUGUGAAUGAGUCGCAAAUAUGUACAGAUGGGUGCAGACGGGGCCCAUACAAGCAGGUUGUGAAUAUA
rnacentral:misc_RNA from 1 species